rnacentral:lncRNA from 1 species
AAGUGCACAGUAGGCAGUAGCCUUCCCCGGAGAAGAAAAGAAAAAAGAAGAAGCAGUCGCUUCAUACUCCCAAAACUUCCCCCAAUUGGACUCUUCACAGUUCACGCUGCAUCUCCUCCCCUCCCCUCCCCUUUCUCUUUAUCUCUAUCUCUGCCCGUCCCAUCAGAACUUUUAGGGUUUCUUUAAAGCACACUGGACAACUCAUUCCUCCACCGCCAGGCUCCUCCUGCUCUCCAAUGCCUGAUAAUAGCUUCAUCUCGUCACGAUUUGGAAACCCUAGACACUGCCGGCUUGCUUCGUUCGUCGGCCGAUUUUCUCAACUCUUCAGAUUGACCACUUUUGAUCAAGCCUUUAAUCCCCGAAAUUUGAUCCACUCCUCGCCCUGAGGGGAUUCUGGAUGGCGCCUAGUCGGAGAAGAGGCGCCGGCAGAGGCUCGG